ACCACAAACCCUCCCCACUACACUGUAAUAAGCUGAAAAGCUGCAAUAAAAGACCACAAGCCACUGCUGUAAUGUGCCACAGUGUUCUUUCACACUCCUGACAGCCUUGUCUGACCUUUUGGCACUUUCCUGGCUGCUGGAGCACUGUCAGCACUGGUGCUGCAGUACCAGUGCCCCUGUCCCUCCGUACCCCAUGGGGUACAGGGACAAAACCUAAAGGCUAUUGUGGUCCUAUUUUAUAAUCACUAGAUUUCUGAGUAACCAGAGUGUGAGGGUCAAAAACUUCACAGCAACCUAGAUGCUACGUGACUUAGUGCAUUUCCUGGCCUGCCUUACUGCUGAAGAUGUUCCAAAUGCUGAGGAAAAUAUAGGAAGGUAAAGGAAGAUGAGGAGCCAACAGGAUGCACCUCUUGCCCCUCUCAGCACGGUUCACUUGUCCUCUCCACUCUGAGCAUCGUUUGUUUGCACUUCUGCCUGGGGUGACACCUGUGCUGACAGGUAGGCAGGAGUCCCUGUGCACCCCAGGCCAGCUGGAUCAGCCUGUCAGCAGCAGAUGACAUACAGGAGGACAGCAGCUCCUGAUGGAUCCUCUCAGCAAAACCAUCAGCACAGAAGCAGGAUGUUAUUACCUAAAUUCACCAGAGACCGAAUUCUGACCUCUGUGUUGUACUUGCUCAAACACACGGAGGUCACCAAGGUUGGUGUUUGGUGUAAUUGAAGGAGAAUUUGCUUUCAAGGACACUUUUCAAAUCAAGGUGUUG